rnacentral:tRNA from 1 species
GAAGGUAUAGCCUAGUGGUAGAGCACGUGCUUAGCAUGCACAAGGUCCUGGGUUCAAUCCCUAGUACCUCCA